CUCACCCCUGGUCUCACCUUCUCCAGGCUCCUGGCGUGGCUCGCCCCCACCUUCUCCCCGCUCCCCACCUUCUCCAUGCUCCCGGCGCCGCCCCCCCACCCCACCUCCUCCCGGAUCCCGCCGUCGCCCCGCCCCCACCUCCUCCCGGAUCCCGCCGCCGCCCCACCCCCACCUUCUCCCUGUCUCCAGCGCCGCCCCUCCCCCACCUCCUCCUGGAUCCCAGCGCUGCCCCCGCCCCCACCUCCUCCCUCGCUCCCGGCGCCCCCCUGCUUCCACGCGCCACCGCCGCCCCCCUGCUUCCACGCGCCGCCGGCGGCCCCGCUGCUUCUAGCCGCCACUGUCGGGAGCCACCAUAGUGCCACCAAUCGCCAUGACCAGUCGUCCCUGCCGCCGCCUUGGCGACCUACCCCCACUCCCUGCAGGGGGCCGUCGCUUCGUGUCACCGCAUCCGGUGGCCACAGCAUGCCGUCCAACUCGGCAGUCCAACUGCUUGCUCCACGGUCGGUCGCUCAAGUAGAUGCGUGCAAGCAAACAUCUCCACGGGCGACAAGUUCUUCUUUCACAUCCUGUUGCUGCUGCUGCACCUUCUCCUUCGACCAGGCUAAGUAAAUUGUUCAGGUACCUUGUGUGUAUAUUAUGCACCUUAGUGUUCAGUAGAAAUUUCAUCGUGUUGGUGAGCUCACAUACUACUAUUCAAUCAGUUAGAAAACGUAAACUUGGGAAGUUUGAAAAAAGAAAACAUUCAAGGGGAGUUUGUUGGAGAUAACAAGUCGAAGUUCAGGUGUCAAAUGUGAAAAAAGAAUUUCUUCUAAUCUAGCAUGCUCCCUCCAACAUAUUUUCAUUUCUACUGUAGCUUACUAUAAAGAUGAAACUAUAUAAGUACACCGUGCAAAAAUUCAGUGGUUCAAAUGUGAAAAAAGAAUUCUUCUAAUCUAGUUCCCACCGUGCAUUUUGUGUGUGUAGAAUUUCAUCUAAUCUAGUUCGAAUUUCAUCUAACAUCCGGCGACGCACCGCGCCCUCGCCUCCCACCUCCGCGACGGACCAUGGAUCUGCCUCCACAGGGGCGGCCGCCGGUGGGAAGGCGUAGCAUCAGCAACAACCACCUCCGCCCCUUCCUGCUCCUCCCCCCGCGCGACGACCACCUCUGUCGCCUCGGGAUCCCAGCUGCAUGCAUUUAGGAGCAAGAGAAAAGAGAGGUUAAUUGUCCGUCCACACUACCGCUCCUCCCAAGUCCACACUAGUUUUAUCACAAAAAGGAGAGGAUGUCUAUUUUAUUUCCUGAAACACAAACUAGGUGUUCUUAGUUCAGUACGUGAGCUAUCUCAAGUUCUUGGAAAACAUAUAAAACAGUACGGUGUUUGUGCAAAAAAUCCAGACUGUUUUCUAAUUAUACAACAGUUUACUAUAUGGUAGAAUUGUAGUUGUUCAGUAAAAAGGUUCACUACCCCAACUGGGGGAUCUUCUAUCCGUUUUGUCUUUCUUUUCCAACUGAAAGUAGUAGCAAAAUGUGAAUUGAAGCUGUUGUGGAGCAAAUUAAGAAUAGUUGCCUACUUUUUUGCCACUGCUACCUUGCCACCUACAUUAAUGCUACUACUAUUACUACUUAUCAUGUUGCUAAACCUUGUGUUUUGGACAAUUUGUGGGAAAGUGUGGAGGCGCAAGUUGCUCCGCAACUGAGGAAGGCGCACCCCGGUGCUUGUCAUGGCUAAAGACGGCCUCCAACCAUGGGGCCCAAAGCAGCCAGCCUUUGUUCACAUGCGCGUCUCCUUCCUGCUUCACCUAGCAGCCCUACUUCUCCAUGACGUCACCAUGUGUGCACGCUCCAACCUGUCCCCUAUCGCAGCCCCACCACUUGUUGCUGAUGCACUCCAACCCGAGGACCUCCAUGAUGGAGGUCGCCUCGUAGCCUAGUGACAAGGUAACUCAUCUUCCUUGUGCGUCCUUCACCCACUGUGCGCCCUACUGCCCUCGACCUCCUUCCUCACAUGCAUGCUACCCCAACUUUUGUUUUGAUUUUCAGUUCAACUUGUGUGUUCUUUUCAGUGCAUUAUGCUUUAAAUGUGCAGAGUCCUGAGGCAAAAUGAUACAUUUUAGUUUGCUUUGUCGCAAGGGCAUUGCUGAAACUUAACUUCUGUCUAAACCUAUAACCAUCCAUUUCGAAAAUAGAUGCUUUCGAAAAUGGAUGCUAGUUUACUUUGCAUAGAGCUUGCAGCUUAUGUUUGUCUAGUUUGAACUUAAGCUGGUCUCCCUUUCGUACUUCAAUUUUUCAGUAUUGGUCUAGUCAGUAUGGUGAAGAUGAAGCUCCUUUUUGAACUUCUCCGGUUAAUAUACAUGCACUUGGUUAUCUUUUUUACAUGUACUAACAUCAUCUCAUUCGGAGUUGUUCGUGUGCUUGUAACACAAAUCAGUUCAAAUCUCAAGAGAAGUAAGCUCAAAAAAAUACAGAAGUUCGAAGCCGAGAUGUUUGCAUAUGUUUUGUUGAAUUGAGUUCCUUCCUAAAAAAAAGCACUAAAUAUGUUUGCACAUCUUUUCAUUACAAACUUUUAAAAAAGUUUCUUUCUGAACUUCUCAAAAUUAAUAUACAUGAACUUGAUUAUCUUUUUAACAUGUAUUGAUAUCAGCUUCGUUGGAUUUUUGUGCGUGUGCUUGUAACACAAUCAGUUCAAAUCUCGAGAGACCAUAAGUUCAAGUUCACUAGUAUUUAUAAAUGUUGGUUGCAGCACUAGUAUUUACAAAUUUCUUAUAAUCUCCACAGGUCGGAGGCCGUACAUAUUUCUUAUUCCUAUUGCUAUAAGAUCAAGUGAUCAAAUGCUAUAAGCUCGCAUGUUAUUGUCCAAUUAGUUCAACUGAUAAUUGUUUUAUUUUAUUGUGUAUAUGUCUAAGAGUAGACUUUGUGACCUAAACUUUCUACUUACUGCUUAGAGAAGGUCCCUUUUGUGGCAUGAACUCUCUUCUUAUUGCUUAGAGAAGGUCCCUUGGAAAAGAUGACUACCUUUCCAAGUUGGAUUAUCCUCAAACAAUUUAUAUUUUGAUGUGGAAUAGGAAAAUAGGUUUGCUUUGGAGUGUGUUUUACAAUUAUAACCUUUCAGACUUCAUAUUCUUUGAGUAUGCAAAAAAAACAGAGGAGAAAAGCUGGCUACAUGCGUAUAGUUUUUAUAAUUUCCAUGGGAAACUAAUAUUCAUGCACCUCUUUGGUGGAUGUUUUGAUAUAUUUCCUUCACGAAUUGUAGUUGUCGAAUGGUGUUACACAAUUACUAUUCUAGCAUCAUUGUUUAUAUUGUAUUCUUUUAGCAUUCUUGCAACCCUAUUAACAACAUCUUUUUGUGUACUGUUUGUCGGGUUUUUUAUUUAUGGACAUCUUGGGCUUGCUGGGUGCAGAAUCAAAGAAGGCCAGUGAGAGGUACUAGUAGAAGAGGAAGAAGUAAUGUGAAAAAUGAGAUAAAUGUGAGAAGACCAAGUACAAAAGCGUGAGAGGGAUUCAGAUUUUUUUUCAGAUUCUUGCUGUACACAUACCUUUGGUAUGUAGAUGCACUGUAAUGUAUCUAGAAAGUAUGAAUGGUUAAUACCUCAAUGGUGCACUAUGCAUCUUUGGCAGUUUUUAUGCAUUUUAGUCGUUGUGCAGCAAUUUAAUGGUGCGCUAUGUACUGAAGUAUGUGUUCUCAAAUCCGGGAAGUUCAUAUGUACUUUUACAUUGGCUCAUCAAGGUUGUGUGCGUACCAUAUAGAAAUCUGGAGCAAUUUGG